rnacentral:lncRNA from 1 species
GGCAUUGAGGCAGCCAGCGCAGGGGCUUCUGCUGAGGGGGCAGGCGGAGCUUGAGGAAACCGCAGAUAAGUUUUUUUCUCUUUGAAAGAUAGAGAUUAAUACAACUACUUAAAAAAUAUAGUCAAUAGGUUACUAAGAUAUUGCUUAGCGUUAAGUUUUUAACGUAAUUUUAAUAGCUUAAGAUUUUAAGAGAAAAUAUGAAGACUUAGAAGAGUAGCAUGAGGAAGGAAAAGAUAAAAGGUUUCUAAAACAUGACGGAGGUUGAGAUGAAGCUUCUUCAUGGAGUAAAAAAUGUAUUUAAAAGAAAAUUGAGAGAAAGGACUACAGAGCCCCGAAUUAAUACCAAUAGAAGGGCAAUGCUUUUAGAUUAAAAUGAAGGUGACUUAAACAGCUUAAAGUUUAGUUUAAAAGUUGUAGGUGAUUAAAAUAAUUUGAAGGCGAUCUUUUAAAAAGAGAUUAAACCGAAGGUAAUAGCCUGCAGCUGGUGUUUUGAGAAGCCCUACUGCUGAAAACUUAACAAUUUUGUGUAAUAAAAAUGGAGAAGCUCUAAA